rnacentral:lncRNA from 1 species
GAAAAUCCCAGAAUUUAUUCCGACUGAAGCAAUAUGCAACUGGCAAAACUGGCAGCUGAAAGGAUCCUGAAUCAGAAGGAUUUUAAAUGCCGUUUUGGCACAGGAUGUCAGAGCACAAGCAUGGUGAAGAGGAAUCUGUGUCAGGAAGAAGGUGGAAGAGAUACGACAUUGGUCAAACAGAGAAUUGAUAAAAUAAGAAAACAAGUUGAAAAAAUAAAACAAAACCAGGUGCCAAAUUUCUCAAAGCCAGAGAAUGGAUUAAAAAUAUGGAAUGGAAAUAAACAAGUAUGAAGCCUGAUGAUUAAACUGGAUGUAUCAGUAAUGAAAUCAUGGAAUCUAAAAAAAAUCAAUAUAAAUGUGUAUGUAUGCAUAUAUGGAGAGAGAGAGACAGAGAAACAGACAGACAGAGGGAGAGGCCAAGCAACUGGUACAAGUGAUACCCUAAUCGCAAUGAGGACACUGAACCCCCAGAUCUUGGUUCUCAAUAACAUGCUCCAUUGAAAAGCAUGAGGCCUGAUUCUGGAGCUGGUGCAGAAAAAUUACAAGAUGAUCCUGGAAUAUAUAUUGUUAAAAAUUAAGACAAUGUUGAAAGGAUAAUAAGGUCAUCCUGAAAGAUUAAAUUGUUGUCAGUUUGAGAUUUUAAAUAAUUAAUGGCAAAAUGGAUUACUACUCAUUGA